CACGUAGGGCGCAAGCGUUGUCCGGAAUUAUUGGGCGUAAAGAGCUCGUAGGCGGCUCAGUAAGUCGGGUGUGAAACCUCCAGGCUCAACCUGGAGACGCCACCCGAUACUGCUGUGGCUAGAGUCCAGUAGGGGAGCGUGGAAUUCCUGGUGUAGCGGUGAAAUGCGCAGAUAUCAGGAGGAACACCAGCGGCGAAGGCGGCGCUCUGGGCUGGCACUGACGCUGAGGAGCGAAAGCGUGGGGAGCGAACAGG
rnacentral:rRNA from 1 species